CCUCCUGCACUGCCUCACCAUGGGCACCAGCCUGCCAGCCUGGGUGUCCCUGUGUCUCCUGGGGAUGGCACUCACAGAAGCUGGGGUCACUCAGUCUCCCAGAUACAAGAUCACAGAGAAAAGCCAAGCUGUGUCUCUUUGGUGUGAUCCAGUUUCUGGUCACAAUGUCCUCUUCUGGUACAGGCAGAGCCCGGGACAGGGCCCAGAGAGGCUGCUUUAUUUUCAGAACAAGGAUAUGAGUGAGGAUGCCCAGUUGCCCAAAGAUCGGUUUUCUGCACAGAGGCCUGAAGGUGCAGACUCCACCCUGAAGAUUCAGCCUGCACAGCUGGAGGACUCAGCGGUGUAACUCUGUGCCAGCAGCUUAGACACAGCCAGGCAGGGACCGUUUCCUGCUGUGCACAAAGCUCUGUGCUUCUCUGCCUCUGUGCAGCUCAGAGCUGCCCUGCACAGAGCCUGCACUUUCCUCACCAUCUGAGGAAGGAGGAGGAGGCCCGUCUUCAGAUGCAGGCUUCACUCAUGUCAGGAGAGGGCAGGCAUUGCUUCUUGAGACAUGAGGGCUGCAUUGUGUGAAAAGGAUAU